rnacentral:lncRNA from 1 species
GCGUCCCUCUCCCUCUGCACUGCCCUCAAUUAUCUGUGUGAGAGAGAGUGGAGGGCAGGCCAAAUAAAGCCAUAGGUGCUGCUGGGAGAGGAGUGCGUGUUAGCAUGCUAUAAAUACUUGAUGCAUCUGGAGUUUCAGGGUUGGCUACUGUCUGGGUCUCAGCAGACCAGAUCACAGGCUCUAUGUUGAUCUAGUGAUUUAUAGAAUUAUUGAUUUAUUGGACUGGGACAGGGAUUGGACCAUCCUGGAGGUGACAGGCCAUCAUGCCUAGGAUAGACGUGGAUGUGAAGCUGGACUUUAAAGAUGUCCUGUUCAGACCCAAGAGAAGCAGCCUGAAGAGCAGGUCAGAGCAAACUCUCUUCACCGCCAUGCAGAAGCACUACACUGUGGAGCAGUGGAAGGCUUUUGCAGCCAAGUUUCCAGAAUGUUUGGAGCACAUAGCGGUCAGCUCAGGCAGCGGUCAAGCCGACCUGGAGAAGCUGUGCAGCGUCCUGAAGGCCGUCUCUGACAUCAGAUUCAUCUGUCUGGACGUGGCCAACGGCUACUCUGAACACUUUGUGGAGUUUGUCAAAACCGUCAGGGGGAGGUUUCCCCAACACACUAUCAUGGUGAGGCCGUUCCAUCAAGUUAACACAGCUGAACAGCUUUUGAAGACUUCAUUUGCUUAUGUCGUUUUAAUUACUGUAAAUAUUCUUACAUGUGCAAUGUGAUGUGCCAUGCAAUGUUAAACUAUCACCUGUUUGGUAGUUAGUUGGUUUGGUAGCUGUAUAGGUAUUCUAAAUGCUAUGACUAUGUCUGCCUGUCCGUCUGUCCGUCUGUCCGUCUGUCCGUCUGUCCGUCUGUCCGUCUGUGUGUCUCUAACUGUGGUCAGGCUGGCAACGUGGUGACAGGAGAGAUGGUGGAGGAGCUGAUCCUGGCAGGAGCUGACAUCAUUAAAGUGGGUAUUGGGCCAGGUGGGUCUGUUACUCUGGUACACUGUUACUCUGUCUGUUACUCUGGUGCUCCGUCUGUUACUCUGUCGGUUACUCUGUCGGUUACUCUGCCUGUUACUCUCUGUUGCUCUGUUACCCUGUCUGUUGCUCUGUCUGUUACUCUAUGGUACCCUCUAUGUUACUCUGUUACUCUGUCUGUUACUCUGUUACUCUGUCUGUUACUCUCUGUUACUCUGUCAGCCACUCUGUCUGUUACUCUGUUACUGUCUGUUACUCUGGGACUUUGUCUGUUGCUCUCUGUUACCCGGUUAUUCUGUCAGUUGCUCUGUCUGUUACUUUGUCAGUUGCUCUGGGUGUUACUCUGCUACUUUGUUACUGUCUGUUACUCUAUUACUAUGUAUGUUACUCUCUGUUACUCUGUCAGUUACUCUGUCUGUUACUCUGUUACUCUGUCUGGUGCUCUAUUACUAUGUAUGUUACUCUCUGUUACUCUGUCAGUUACUCUGUCUGUUACUCUAUUACUAUGUAUGUUACUCUCUGUUACUCUGUCAGUUACUCUGUCUGUUACUCUGUUACUCUGUCGGUUACUCUCUUACUCUGUCUGGUACUCUGUUUGUUACUCUCUGUUACUCUGUCGGUUACUCUGUCGGUUACUCUCUUACUCUGCCUGUUACUCUGUUUGUUACUCUCUGUUACUCUGUCGGUUACUCUGUCGGUUACUCUCUUACUCUGUCUGUUACUCUGUUUGUUACUCUCUGUUACUCUGUCGGUUACUCUGUCGGUUACUCAGUUAUUCUGUCAGGUACUCUGUCUGUUACUCUGCUACUGUGUCUGUUACUCUGUUAAUCUGUCUGGUACUCUGUCUGUUACUCUGUUACUGUGUAUGUUACUCUGGUACUCCAUCGGUUACUCUCUGUUACUCUGUUGGUUACUCUGUCUGUUACUCUCUGCUACUCUGUUACACUGUUACUAUGUCUGGUACUCUAUCACUCCGUCUGUUACUCUCUGUUACUCUGCCGGUUACUCUGUCUGUUACUCUGUUACUCUGUCUGCUACUCUGGUACUCCGUCUGUUACUCUGUUACUCUGUCUGUUACUCUGGUACUCUGUUACUCUGUCUGUUACUCUGGUACUCCAUCGGUUACUCUGUCUGUUACUAUGUUACUCUGUUACUCUGUCUGUUGCUCCGGUACUCUGUUACUCUAUUACUCCGUCUGUUACUCUGUCGGUUAGUCUGUUACUCUGUCUGUUGCUCUGUUGGUUACUCUGUUACUCUGUUGGUUACUAUGUUACUCUGUAUGUUACUCUGUCACUCUGUAUGUUACUCUGUAUGUUACUCUGUCUGUUACUCUGUCUAUUACUCUGUUAUUCUGUCUGUUGAUCUGUCGGUUACUCUGUUACUCUGUCUGUUACUCUGUCUGUUACUCUGUUACUCUGUUACUAUGUAUGUUACUCAGUUGGUUACUCUGUUACUCUGUCUGUUACUCUGUCUGUUACUCUGUUACUCUGGUACUCUGGUACUCUGUCUGUUACUCAGUUGGUUACUCUGUCUGUUACUCUGUCUGUCACUCCGGUACUCUGUUACUCUGUCUGUUACUCUGUUACUCUGUCUGUUAUUCUGUUACUUUGUCUGUUACUCUGUUACUUUGUCUGUUACUCUGUUACUCUGUCAGUUACUCUGUCGGUUACUCUGUUACCAUGUCUGUUAUACGGUCUGUUAUAAGGUCUGUUACCCUGUCUGUUAUUCUGUUACUCUGUCUGAUACUCUGUCUGUUACUCCGUUACUCUGUCGGUUACUCUGUUGGUUACUCUGUCUGUUACUCUGUCUGUUACCCUGUCUGUUAUUCUGUCUAUUACCCUGUCUGUUGCACUGGCUGUUACCCUGCCUGUUACUCUGUCUGUUACUCUGUCUGUUGUUCUGUUACUUUAUAUGUUACUCUGUUACUCUGUCUGUUAAUCUGUCUGUUACUCUGAUACUCUGUUGGUUACUCCGUUGGUUACUCUGUCUGUUACUCUGUUACCCUGUCUGUUACCCUGUCUGUUACCCUGUCUGUUACCCUGUCUGUUACACUGUCUGUUACACGGUCUGUUACUCUGUCUGUUACUCUGUCUGUUACUCUGUUACCCUGUCUGUUAUACUGUUUGUUACACUGUCUGUUACACUGUCUGUUACACUGUCUGUUGCCCUGUCUGUUACUCUGUCUGUUACUCCGUCUGUUACUCUAGCACCCUCUUCCCUACAUAGUGCACUAUAAGUAGAGCACUAUAUGGAGUCAUGAGUUCACCAGGGCUCCCUUCAAGAGAGAAAAAUACUUCAGCUGAGUGCAUUCAGCUCCUGACAAACUGACACGUCAUGAUUCCCCUCUAGGUUCUGUGUGUACGACGCGUAUUAAGACGGGAGUGGGAUACCCCCAGCUCAGUGCUGUCAUAGAGUGUGCAGACUCCGCCCACGGCCUGAAGGGUCACAUCAUCUCAGUGAGUGACCUCUGACCUCAAGAACCUUCUGACAUUCUGACCUCUUGGGUCAGAUUCAGGAGGGUGCAACGCACCUGCACAAUACAUGUAUCUACACAACAUUUCUAUCUGAACAAACCCAGGGGUUAAAGGUGCUGGAGCUCGGGUUCCGCCUAGCUUUCCCUUUGAGAGAUUAAACCACUGAACGUUCCACAAUGUUUGCUCAAUAUGUUUUGUUUUAUCGCACCAGGAUGGCGGAUGCAGCUGUCCUGGCGAUGUGGCUAAGGCAUUUGGCGCUGGAGCUGAUUUUGUGAUGCUGGGGGGCAUGCUGGCUGGCCACGACCAGUGUGCCGGGGAGGUCAUUGAGAGGAAUGGCAGAAAGGUCAAGCUGUUCUAUGGGAUGAGCUCUGACACGGCCAUGAAGAAACAUGUAGGGGGAGUGGCAGAGUACAGAGCGUCAGAGGGCAGGACGGUGGAGGUACCGUACAGGGGGGAUGUAGAGGCCACCAUCAGGGACAUUCUGGGUGGUCUGCGCUCCACCUGCACCUACGUAGGAGCUGCCAAACUGAAGGAGCUCAGUCGCAGGACCACCUUUAUCAGAGUCACACAGCAGGCCAGCCACAUGUUCACAUAGUAGUAAAUAGACGGAGGGACGGACAGACAGACAGCCAUGAUCUUUCUUGUGGCUGUUUAGAACUUCACAUCCUAAUGCCUGAUUUCAAUUGUGCUGAUUUAAUUUAAAAUGUAAAAGUUUGAAUCUACAACAAUAUUUAUGUAAAUGCAUGUGUUACUUUCCCUGUACACAGUAGACAGAAAGAGGAGAAACAGAGAAAUACCAACCUGGACUCAGGGGUAGACAUAGUAAACUUAUAUCCGUGACACUCCAAUUAGUAUGAUAUGUAACGUUUGGCAUGGUUUUCAUUUGUGGAUGUCCAUCUUUCAUUUCGUCGGAUAUGUUACGAAUUACAAUAUGUUACGAAUUUGCAAAGGUAUGAUAUGUUAUGAAUUCUAAUUUGUUGAGGCUAAGGUUAUCUAGGUGUCUAGGUGGCUAACGCUAAUGUUAGCUAGGUGGCUAAUGUUAACCAGGUUAGGGGUUAAGGUUAGGAGUUAGGUUAGGGUAUGGGUUAGCUAAUAUGCUAAGUAGUUGCAAAAAAUUGGUAAGUAGUUUCAAAGUUGCUAAUUAGCUAAAAUGAUAAAAUUGUCUGUGAUGUUAUUCAAACUCACAGCCUUUGGGUUGCUUGAUGUUCAUGUUUUACACCUACCCAUCCACCCUGUCCAAACAUCCUACUUUUGUUUUUUGCCUUAAGUAACCUUCUGUCUUAUGUAACCAAAUGUAACAUAUCAUACUAAAUUGAAUCUUUCAGAAUUUGGAUUUACAUUUACUAUGUUACGUGUAGUCUAUGAGACCAGGCUGGAAAAACAGAGUGCUAGAGUAAGCAGCUGCUCUGUUGCUCCUCUUGAAAGAUGGAUGAAAGACAGAUGAGCCAGUUGAUAGACAGAAUUUCAGUUGACUCUGUUAUUUAUUAUUCUGAGUAUACAGAGACAAUACAUUUGUUCAUGUUCUUUUGUGUUUCUUUAAACAAAUUUGUUCAAAUCUAAAUGAAAUGUUAAAAAAAAUUACAACUGAAAUAUUUUGUCCAUAAACCUGGAAAAACUCUCCUAAGAAAGAGACCAUAGAUCAUACAGAACAGAUUGGAGUAUAUCCUACAAAUUAAACCGUAAUACCACAGUUAGAAAAGCAACUUUGAAGUCUUCUAGUCCUCUUGUUUCCUGUCUCCUGUUGUACAUAAAUGUAUCUUACAUAUGAGGUACACAAAAAAGUUAUUUCACAACCUUUCUUGGGGGUUGCGGACCAAUGCAUGAACAUUUUUUAAAUUACAGAUUGUACAAUAAUAACAAUGAUCCUAUUUUGUAUAAUAUCUACAACAAUGUUUAUAUUUUAGCACAUACAUAUCUCAGGAAAAAACAGUCAAUGGGCGGUGUCUGUUUCUCUGCCAGUUCACCUGAUUAUUGGCAAGAUGCAAACAACAGUCUAAUAAUCUCUAUUCAUUCUAUUCUCUGUCUCUCUCUCUCCCUCCUCUCUCUCCCUCCUCUCUCUCUCUCCUCUCAAUGAAUUUGAAAAUAUCCAAUUGCUUUCUUUGAUGAUAAACAGUUUUAUGAUAAUCACACACACACACACACACACACACACACACACACACAAUUCCUGAGUUCUGUAAAAUACUUUAUUUUGGCUAUAAGAAAAUAUAUAUAAUUUUAAACUGAAAGAAAAGAGAGACACCUGUGAGAAUUCAGUCUAAAGUAAGACAGGUACACAUGAGUGGGUAGUGAGGCCAGGUAGUUACAGAAUGUAGAGUAAUGUCCACAUUCAUGUGCACAGGUUCAUCUACUGCUGAACCUAUGGCACUGGUCCAUAAUCACUGAUGAUCUUGACUCUAGCUUUUUCACUUGACAGUACCAUGAUUACUCUGAUUUGCCUGAAUUAAAAGUAUGAAAAUAUACAUUUUAAUGAUUCAUGUCACGUGAAGAUACAAUGUAUUCUCAGGUGACAUAUUGCAAGUUGAGGUUUGAGUUUUACAUGGGAUGUCAUUCAUACAAAUAACUGAUGAAAGUGAAUCAGAGACAUUUUAGAGGGUCAUCGGUCUGUAAUGAUUUAACAUGGAAAAACACCAAUCUAUAAUUCAGGUAUUGCACAUACAACACAUACAACCCAAUUACAACUAAGUUAAUUGGACAGGUUCACUAUAGCUGUAGUUCAAUGUCAGUGGCUCUCCCUCCACCACUUUACAGUGUAAAACAUUGUAAAACAACGUCCAGAAGAACCACUGUAAAACGUUGUAUAACGUCCAGAAGAACCACUGUAAAACGUUGUAUAACGUCCAGAAGAACCACUGUAAAAUGUUGUAUAACGUCCAGAAGAACCACUGUAAAACGUUGUAUAACAUCCAGAAGAACCACUGUAAAACGUUGUAUAACGUCCAGAAGAACCACUGUAAAACGUUGUAUAACGUCCAGAAGAACCACUGUAAAACGUUGUAUAACAUCCAGAAGAACCACUGUAAAACGUUGUAUAACGUCCAGAAGAACCACUGUAAAACGUAGUAUAACGUCCAGAAGAACCACAGAAAGCCCCCGAUAAAAGGUGAAGUAGAACUCACUGCAGGAGAAGCUAUCAUGUAACUUACUACAGUAUGAAGCUAUCAGGUAACUUACUACAGUAUGAAGCUAUCAGGUAUGUAGCUGUCAGGUAGGUUACAACACUAUGAAGCUAUCAGGUAACUUACUACAGUAUGAAGCUAUCAUGUUUGACGCUAUUGGGUAACUUACUACAGUAUGAAGCUAUCAGGUAACUUACUACAGUAUGAAGCUGUCAGGUAACUUACUACAGUAUGAAGCUAUCAGGUAACUUACUACAGUAUGAAGCUAUCAGGUAUGAAGCUAUCAGGUAACUUACUACAGUAUGAAGCUAUCAGGUAACUUACAACAGUAUGAAGCUAUCAGAUAACUUACUACAGUAUGAAGCUAUCGGGUAACUUACUACAGUAUGAAGCUAUCGGGUAACUUACAACAGUAUGAAGCUAUCAGGUAACUUACAACAGUAUGAGGGCUAUCAGGUAACUUACUGCAGUAUGAAGCUAUCAGGUAUGAAGAUAUCAGGUAACUUACUACAGUAUGAAGCUAUCAGGUAACUUACUACAGUAUGAAGCUAUCAGGUAUGAAGAUAUCAGGUAACUUACCACAGUAUGAAGCUAUCAGGUAACUUACAACAGUAUGAAGCUAUCGGGUAACUUACAACAGUAUGAAGCUAUCGGGUAACUUACAACAGUAUGAAGCUAUCGGGUAACUUACAACAGUAUGAAGCUAUCAGGUAACUUACCACAGUAUGAAGCUAUCAGGUAACUUACAACAGUAUGAAGCUAUCAGGUAACUUACUACAGUAUGAAGCUGUCAGGUAACUUACUACAGUAUGAAGCUAUCAGGUAACUUACUACAGUAUGAAGCUAUCAGGUAUGAAGCUAUCAUGUAACUUACAACAGUAUGAAGCUAUCAGGUAACUUACUACAAUAUGAAGCUAUCAGGUAACUUACUGCAGUAUGAAGCUAUCAGGUAUGAAGAUAUCAGGUAACUUACUACAGUAUGAAGCUAUCAGGUAACUUACUACAGUAUGAAGCUAUCAGGUAUGAAGAUAUCAGGUAACUUACUACAGUAUGAAGCUAUCAGGUAACUUACUACAGUAUGAAGCUAGCAUGUAACUUACAACAGUAUAUCUAAAACAAGAAGGGAAUGAAGACAUUAAAUCACAAAGAAUGCGUCCCAAACGGCACCCUCUUAGCUUUAUAGUGCACUACAACUGACCAGAGCCCAAAGUUAGGGCACUAUAUAGGAAAUGGGUGCCAUUUGGGACACAACCUGGCUAUCAAAGAUACUACUAACCCUGUCCUGUAGACAUUGGUUGAUGUUCAAAUCAAUAUGAUUACUCUUUAAAUUCACUUUGUGGAAUAUGGCCAAUAACAAAAUUAUACGCACCCAUAUUUCUGUAAACCGAAAUGAUUGAAACAUACAAUGCCUUCGGAAAGUGUUCAGACCCCUUGACUUUUUCCACAUUUUGUUACGUUACAGCCUUAUUCUAAAAUGUAUUCAAUAGUUUUUUCCCCCUCAUCAAUCUACACACAACACGCC